AGCAGUGGGGAAUUUUGGACAAUGGGCGCAAGCCUGAUCCAGCAAUGCCGCGUGAGUGAAGAAGGCCUUCGGGUUGUAAAGCUCUUUUGUCAGGGAAGAAACGGUGAGGGCUAAUAUCCCUUGCUAAUGACGGUACCUGAAGAAUAAGCACCGGCUAACUACGUGCCAGCAGCCGCGGUAAUACGUAGGGUGCAAGCGUUAAUCGGAAUUACUGGGCGUAAAGCGUGCGCAGGCGGUUUUGUAAGUUUGUCGUGAAAGCCCCGGGCUCAACCUGGGAAUUGCGAUAAAGACUGCAAGGCUUGAAUCUGGCAGAGGGGGGUAGAAUUCCACGUGCAGCAGUGAAAUGCGUAGAGAUGUGGAGGAACACCGAUGGCGAAGCAGCCCCCUGGGUCAAGAUUGACGCUCAUG
rnacentral:rRNA from 1 species